UACGUAGGGGUCGAGCGUUGUCCGGAAUACUGGGCGUAAAGCGUGCGCAGGCGGUUCGUUAAGUCAGAUGUGAAAGCCCCGGGCUCAACCUGGGAACUGCAUUUGAAACUGGCGGACUUGAGUGUGGCAGAGGGGGGUGGAAUUCCACGUGUAGCAGUGAAAUGCGUAGAUAUGUGGAGAAACACCGAUGGCGAAGGCAGCCCCCCUGGGUUAACACUGACGCUCAUGCACGAAAGCGUGGGGAGCAAACAGG
rnacentral:rRNA from 1 species